AACGAACGCUGGCGGCAGGCCUAACACAUGCAAGUCGAACGCCGUAGCGAUACGGAGUGGCAGACGGGUGAGUAACGCGUGGGAACAUACCCCUCGGUUCGGAAUAACUCAGGGAAACUUGAGCUAAUACCGGAUAAGUCCGAGGUUUUAAUCGACCUUGGAGAAAGAUUUAUCGCCGGAGGAUUGGCCCGCGUCUGAUUAGCUUGUUGGUGAGGUAAUGGCUCACCAAGGCGACGANCAGUAGCUGGUCUGAGAGGAUGAUCAGCCACAUUGGGACUGAGACACGGCCAAACUCCUACGGGAGGCAGCAGUGGGGAAUAUUGGACAAUGGGCGAAAGCCUGAUCCAGCCAUGCCGCGUGAGUGAUGAAGGCCUUAGGGUGUAAAGCUC
rnacentral:rRNA from 1 species